rnacentral:rRNA from 1 species
GUGAGUAACGCGUGGGAACGUGCCUUCCGGUUCGGAAUAACCCUGGGAAACUAGGGCUAAUACCGGAUACGCCCUUAUGGGGAAAGGUUUACUGCCGGAAGAUCGGCCCGCGUCUGAUUAGCUAGUUGGUGGGGUAACGGCCUACCAAGGCGACGAUCAGUAGCUGGUCUGAGAGGAUGAUCAGCCACACUGGGACUGAGACACGGCCCAGACUCCUACGGGAGGCAGCAGUGGGGAAUAUUGGACAAUGGGCGCAAGCCUGAUCCAGCCAUGCCGCGUGAGUGAUGAAGGCCUUAGGGUUGUAAAGCUCUUUUAUCCGGGACGAUAAUGACGGUACCGGAGGAAUAAGCCCCGGCUAACUUCGUGCCAGCAGCCGCGGUAAUACGAAGGGGGCUAGCGUUGCUCGGAAUCACUGGGCGUAAAGGGCGCGUAGGCGGCGUUUUAAGUCGGGGGUGAAAGCCUGUGGCUCAACCACAGAAUGGCCUUCGAUACUGGGACGCUUGAGUAUGGUAGAGGUUGGUGGAACUGCGAGUGUAGAGGUGAAAUUCGUAGAUAUUCGCAAGAACACCGGUGGCGAAGGCGG